CACGUAGGACGCAAGCGUUAUCCGGAAUUACUGGGCGUAAAGGGCGCGUAGGCGGCCUUGUAAGUCCCGUGUGAAAUCCCUCGGCUCAACUGAGGAACUGCACGGGAAACUGCUUGGCUUGAGUUCGGGAGAGGGAAGCGGAAUUCCGGGUGUAGCAGUGAAAUGCGUAGAUAUCGUGAGGAAUACCAGAGGCGAAGGCGGCUACCUGGACAAUUGCUGACGCUCAGGCACGAAAGCGUGGGGAGCAAAAGGG
rnacentral:rRNA from 1 species